rnacentral:rRNA from 1 species
CUGUUUAACAAAAACAUGUCUGUAUGGUUGUUAUAUAGAGUCUAGCCUGCCCACUGAUAUUAUAUUAAAGGGCCGCGGUAUUUUGACCGUGCGAAGGUAGCAUAAUCAUUAGUCUUUUAAUUGGAGGCUUGUAUGAAUGGUUGGACAAAAAGUUAACUGUCUCGUUUAUAAAAAUUGAAUUUAACUUUUAAGUGAAAAGGCUUAAAUGAACUGAGGGGACGAUAAGACCCUAUAAAGCUUUACAAUAAAUUAAUUAAAUUAUAAAUUAUUAGUUUAACUUAAUUUAAUUUGUGUUUGUUUCGUUGGGGCGACGAGAAUAUAA